rnacentral:lncRNA from 1 species
AGAGUUAGGGAGAGGCGGCCGAGCUGCACACCUUGAGCCCCGGCCUCCUCCGAAGGGAACCCCUGCACCCCAGCGGGGUCAGCACAAGGUAGAGAAGGUAGAGGUCAGGGUGGAACAAAAGGGAAGGUCCCGCGGGUGUGCACGCUCUCGCAGGCACACAGCCGGCUCGCGGAGACACAGGGGCGGGGGAGGGGAGGGGAGGGGAGGGGAGGGCCUGACCUGAGAGGCCAGAGCGGGCGUGGGGGCCCCCCUCGGGUCAGGAGCCGGCCUCACCUUUGCAGUUCUUAUAUACCCGGCCAAGCAUCCCAAACACGCGGCCCUGGCCAAGUGGCCCCCUCGGGCUGCGCUCCCUGACCAUAUUUAGUCAAGCAGGGGAAAAAAUAGCCUGUCAGCUGGGCCGCGGCUGGCCCGGCCACCGGGAACAGGGUGGGAGCACCCACGCCAUUGACGGCGGGUCCCGGGCUCAGGCUGCUGUCCUGCCCCUCCCGGCCCCUCCCUGACAGGCCUCCCACCGGCUGUCCCUGCCCGAGAUCCCCCCGCUAUUUUUAGCCCAGCCAGUACAGAGGCGCCUCCUCAGUAGCCGGGCAGCAGCCUCCAUGCCAUGCCAGCCGGCUCCUAGGGUGCCCUGGGGAGACCCGGGCAUCUCCCAGGCUGCAGGGCCGGGGGUGGGGGGGGCGGGCAGAAUGGUACGGCCUCCUUCGCUGCUCUGAGCCUCCAGUGGGCUGAGCCCACCCAGGCCACCAGGAGUGGGUGGCCCCCUCCACAGUCCCAUCGGCUCUGCCCUUUUGCCUAGAAUUGGGGCCAGGAUCAGGUGGUGACAGAGCCACCUGGGUUUCCGGAGACUCUCAAGCCAACCCCAAGUCAUGACAAAUGCCAGUCGCCUUGGACAGAGGCAAGGUCAACCUGCUUGCCGCCCCCAGCCAGGCCCUGCCACCAAGGGGCCUGGACGCAGAGACCAGAGGCCUGAACUGGCAGACUGUCCUCACAGGCUGUGUGACGCUGGCUGGUCGUCCCAUCUCUCUGGGGCCCCACAGGACUGGGGACCAGGUCGUGGAAUGACAGUGGACCACAGUGGUCCGGGGACCCCGCUCGUUGGUGGCAGGCACAGGCCCGUGUGAUGGGGACAAUGAGCUUUGGUAUUUGUGAGUCCUGUCCAGAGCAUAGGUCCUCCUGUUCAGAAGCCACCUCAUAAAUGUCCCCAGUGCCUCCCGGACUUAGGAAGGCAUCCCCUUGUGGUUCUGGCCAGUUAGGGACACAGGGCCGGGGAGUCUAUGCCGCUCAGAACAGGCUCAGCUGCAUCUAAUCCCAGGGGAGCCCCUGAGGAGCCUGCACACCCCCCAGGCUGGCCCACAGGAGCUGAGGCAGGGCUCUCCUCCAGGUUCACCUCCUGGGCUCACGGCCCCUUCCCCACAUCCCAAGGCCGGCUCUGCAGAGUCAUGGGGAGAAGCCGGAGCCCCAGCCACACUCGCCACACACGCCGACACCCACUCUGGUGUCCUCCGGCCAGCGACAGCGAGGGACAGAGGGACGCCCCCUGCACCUGCCCAGUGCAGAGGCUUCUUGAGUGAUGCCAGGCCCUUCUCCCAGCCCUCACCAGCCUCACAGUAACAGCCGGCACACAGCACUUAGGCUGCCUGGUGUUCCAGAAGCUUCUGCAGGGGCUCUAUGCUGCACUCAAGGCAUCCCUAAGAGGAGAGCAUUUUGCUGUCCCCACUUUACGGAGAAGGAACGUGGGCUCAGGGUGGUUUAAGGCGUGAAUGAAUGAAGGAGCAAGCAGUAAGCCCCGACAGCAAGGCCACCACAGCCCUCGCCCCACAGGGACGCCUGAGCAAGGACCCAAGCAGGGGACAAGCAGGCUCACCCCGCCCUUGCGGGGCUGACCACGAGGCCCCGUCCGGUGGAACACGCCAUGACGCUUCAGGAGGCUCAUGUAGCUGGCGCCGUAUGGGACAGCGGGGGAGAGAGAAAAUGCACAGCCCAGGGAAUGUGGAGACAGGCCCAGCGCCAGGCAUGGGGGCCGGAAGGAGCAGCCGGGGAGCAGGGGGCAGGGCCUGGAGUCCCGCCUUGCAGGUCAGAGGUCAGAGGUCAGGGAAGGCCUGGGUGGGGGUGAAUGAACAGGCCCCCCAGUGAUGUCAGAGGGGCAGGCGGGGAAGGGUCCCGGAAGAGCACCCCGGGGAGUGUGUACAGGAAGGCAGGAGCCCGGAGGCGGGAAGGGGGGCCUGGUGUGUCCAGCGGGCAGCAGGAGGCCAGCAUGGCUGCCACUGGGGCAGUGGCAGUGGAUGGGUGGCCUGGGGCUGGGCUUCGGGCAGGGUCAGACCACGUCAGGCCUUGUAGGCCAGUGCCAGGGCUGCAGGUGUCCUGCUGAGGGGCACAGGCCUGGGCAGGCUGGCACGGCUAUAGCAGGGUCCUUAUGGCUUAUCUGCUGAGGGUGAGGGUGGAGGGCAGAGGCUGGAGCAUCAGGGGCCCUGCCCAGCUGCGGUGCCCUGGGGAGGGCUGCCCAGCUCUGGCUGUGCCUUGAAAGUUUGCCCGAAAGAUUCACUGUUGGAGCAGAUGUGGUCACAAGAGCAAGGGGGGAUGUCAGAUGGCCUGGGCCCUGAGGAACAGAGUGCAUCCCUAGGAGGGGGACGGCCCGUCACCAGGGAGCCUUCUGAGACCAUUUUGUAGGUGGGGAAACUGAGGCUCAGGAGGAAAAGCCAGUUGCCCAGCACGCGAAGACCCAGAGCCUAUCUUCCUGCCCCUACAUCCUUGUCUGUCCCCAGAUCUGAACCUGCCCCAGCCCCAGGACUCUGAGUGCAGCAAGAGGGGAGCCGGGCUGGAGAGUGGGGAGCACGGAGACUGUGGCCUGGAUGGUGCCAGAGCAAACAGGAGAGAGGCUGCCCAACGCAGAGGCUGCAGCACAGACCAGAGGGUCCCGGGGCUGACUGGGUGGGGGCAGCUCCCAGCGAGAGGCCCCUGGGAUUUGGGUAAGUAGAGGCACAUGCAGACUCUGGCCACAGGGCACCUCGCGCACGAGGGGAGUUCACCACACAAGCUGAGCGGAGGGCGGACGCAGGAGAGCAGCGGUUUCUCGGAAGCCAAGGGCGGUCAUGGAGCCCCACGCCACAGCGCUUCCCACGGGGCCACACCAUCCGGUCUGCGGAGGGGGCUGCAUUGCCGGGAAGGACCAUCUGAUUCUGGAUUCCAGCCUCACCCUGGGCCACCGCUGAGUGUCCCAAGUGGCCCCUUAGCCCCCAGGGCCAGGCGGCAUCCCAAUCCCCUAGGGAUGUCUGUGCUCAGAAUGUGGCACACACGCCCCGGCAGGGCCAUCCUCCUCCUCCUGCACCCGCCACAGCCGUGGAUUCGGGGUCUCUAUCGUGGGCAGAAAUUCACACAGUCAAGGUGAGGGUCCCAGGAGCAGCUGUGACCAGGCCCCGGCUGCCAGGGAGAGGGGGUCUUCAGCCGACGGGGCAGACACCCUGAGAUGGACCCUUGUCCAGGGGAGGGCCCUGCCACCCACAAUUCCUUGGCAUUCCUGCACCAGCAGGACGGGCUGAGGGAGGCGCCUCACCAGUGCCAGCGCCCAGCAUCACUGUGCCCCGGUGGAGGGGGAGGCCCUUCCGAGCCUGGGCCUGGGUGUGGAUGAGGGCAGGUCUCUCACCUCUCUGACCUCAGCUUCCUCAACUGGGAAGGGGGGCCACAGCACCCCCUUAGGGGUGAUGAGGAAGUGGGAGCUCAGGGAGGACCCCGGGCAGGGCUGCCUCCUCACCUCUCUUCGGCCUUUGGACACUGGAGCUCAGAGGACCAAGUGAAUGAAUGAAUGACUCGAUCAAUCAACUGAUCCAUGAAUCCAUGGACCCCUGAACAGCUGGACAGCUGGGCUGUGGGCAGGACAGGGGACUCUGGCUGAAGCCGCGUUCAUAUGUGUUCAGCUUUGUGAGUGGGGCGAGGUUGAGGGCUUAUUCAGUGGGGGAGGUGCACGGCAGGGCCAGUACCCUUGGAGGGUCAGGCCACAGGGGCGGGGACACCUGCCAGGAUGCCCAACCCCAGAGGCAGUGGGAGCUGUUGGGGAGCCGUGGUCCCAGUCAGCGGUGGCUUGAUGAGGGCUGCUCCCACUUCAUCCGCAGGAUUCCAGCCGCAGCUACCCCACACCCGAGCUGUCCCUAGUCGCCCACCGCGGCCGGACAAAGCCCCAGCAGCCAAGGUGCUCCGUGGGGAGGGUUUCUUGGGUUUCUUGAAGCCAGUAUUUCCCAUAGUAUCUUACGUCCCAGCAGAGGCCUCCACUGUGCCCGGACCAGCGGCCCACUCAGUGAGUCGAGUGUGCACCUGGCACCCCUCUUUCUGGAAAUCCACGAACAAUGGGCUCCCAGCAGAGGACUGAGGCUGAGCAGGCCACUUCCCUGGAGCUGACCCCACAGCUGUGUAGGUACAGGGUGGCCGUGAACACUUAGGGCUCUCUCGGGCUGUGCGCUUCUUGUUCACUGCAAGGAGCAGGGUGUUGGCUCCUGACCAAGCCCUGUCACUGCUGCCCAGCCACACGUGGGGCCCCUUCACCCACCCCUGACCACCUCAUGCAGGUGAAGCCACUGUGGAAACAGCCUGGCAGUCCCUUGAAAAAUGAAGUCAUAAACCCCAGCAAUUGCACUCCUGGGCCUCUGACAGAGCUUGCACGUCCCCUCCAAAGCUCGUGUUAAGCUGUGAGCCCCAGUGCCGGAGGUGGGGCCUGGUGUGUUUGGGUUCUGGGGGUGGAUCCCUCAUGGCUGGGUGCCAUGAACCCACUCACCACAGUGAGUUCUCACGAGAUCUGGUUGUUGAGAAGUGUGUCAUACCUCCCCCACAACUCUCUGUCUUUUGUUCCGGCUCUGGCAAUGUAACAAGCCUGCUCCUCCUUCGCCUUCUGCCAUGACUGUAAGCUUUCUGAGGGCUGACCAGAAGCCCAGCAGAUGCCAGCACCAUGCUUCCUAUACAGCCUGCAGAACCGUGAGCCAGCUAAACCUCUCCUCAUAAAUCACCGAGCCCCAGGUUUAUCUUUACAGCAAUGCAAGACCUGACUAAUACAGCACCAGCUCCCCAAAAUAAAAAGAAAUAUUCAAACAAAUAAGCGCACAGAAGUGUUCCCAGCAGCACUAUUCACAGCAGCCAAAAGGCGGAGGAGCCACAGGCUUGUCAGCUGAUGACAGAUAAAGAAAGCAUGGCCUGUCAUCCCAGCACUUUGGGAGGCCGAGGUGGGUGGAUCACCUGAGGUUGGGAGUUCAAGACCAGCCUGGCCAACAUGGUGAAACCCAGUCUCUACUAAAAAUAUAAAAAUUAGCUGGGUGUGAUGAUGAGCGCCUGUAGUCCCAGCUACUUGGAAGGCUGAGGAACAAGAAUCGCUUGAACCCGGGAGGCAGAGGUCGCAGUGAACCGAGAUC